rnacentral:tRNA from 1 species
CGUUAGCUCAGUCGGUAGAGCAGUUGACUUUUAAUCAAUUGGUCGCUGGUUCGAAUCCAGCACG